AACGAUAAAGCGGGUGAAAAGCCCGCUCGCCGGAAGACCAAGGGUUCCUGUCCAACGUUAAUCGGGGCAGGGUGAGUCGACCCCUAAGGCGAGGCCGAAAGGCGUAGUCGAUGGGAAACAGGUUAAUAUUCCUGUACUUGGUGUUACUGCGAAGGGGGGACGGAGAAGGCUAUGUUGGCCGGGCGACGGUUGUCCCGGUUUAAGCGUGUAGGCUGGUUUUCCAGGCAAAUCCGGAAAAUCAAGGCUGAGGCGUGAUGACGAGGCACUACGGUGCUGAAGCAACAAAUGCCCUGCUUCCAGGAAAAGCCUCUAAGCAUCAGGUAACAUCAAAUCGUACCCCAAACCGACACAGGUGGUCAGGUAGAGAAUACCAAGGCGCUUGAGAGAACUCGGGUGAAGGAACUAGGCAAAAUGGUGCCGUAACUUCGGGAGAAGG
rnacentral:rRNA from 1 species